rnacentral:rRNA from 1 species
AGAUUGAACGCUGGCGGCAUGCUUUACACAUGCAAGUCGAACGGCAGCACGGGGGCAACCCUGGUGGCGAGUGGCGAACGGGUGAGUAAUGCAUCGGAACGUAUCUUUAAGUGGGGGAUAACGCAUCGAAAGAUGCGCUAAUACCGCAUAAUCUCUGAGGAGAAAAGCAGGGAUCGCAAGACCUUGCGCUUUUGGAGCGGCCGAUGUCUGAUUAGCUAGUUGGUGGGUAAAGGCUUACCAAGGCUUCGAUCAGUAGCUGGUCUGAGAGGACGACCAGCCACACUGGGACUGAGACACGGCCCAGACUCCUACGGGAGCAGCAGUGGGGAAUAGUGACAAGUCGGCGCAAGCCUGAUCCAGCCAU